CACGAACGCUGGCGGCAGGCCUAACACAUGCAAGUCGAACGCCCCGCAAGGGGAGUGGCAGACGGGUGAGUAACACGUGGGAACGUACCCUUCGGUUCGGAAUAACACAGAGAAAUUUGUGCUAAUACCGGAUACGUCCGAGAGGAGAAAGACUUAUCGCCGAUGGAUCGGCCCGCGUCUGAUUAGCUUGUUGGUGAGGUAACGGCUCACCAAGGCGACGAUCAGUAGCUGGUCUGAGAGGAUGAUCAGCCACACUGGGACUGAGACACGGCCCAGACUCCUACGGGAGGCAGCAGUGGGGAAUAUUGGACAAUGGGGGAAACCCUGAUCCAGCCAUGCCGCGUGAGUGAUGAAGGCCCUAGGGUUGUAAAGCUCUUUUACCUGGGAAGAUAAUGACUGUACCAGGAGAAUAAGCCCCGGCUAACUUCGUGUCAGCCGCCGCCGUAAGAC
rnacentral:rRNA from 1 species